UGUACAAACACUGGAACAUAAAUAAACCUGCAAGACGUAUGUUGUAAAAGAGCGUUGUCUUUUCUACAUACCAUGAUGUUAAUACUUCAGCCAGCCAUGCAGGGAAUCAUGAUCUUAGGAUUGCCUGCAUGUUCCAAAAAAGCAACAACUUAAAUCAGACAGACAUUCUUCUUCUAAACUGUUUUUCAACUAUUAAGGGCCCAAUCCAUAAGCCCUUGGAAAUCAAUGGGAAGUAUUCCAUGUGUUCAGUGGACUUGGCAUCAGGCCCUAAAAGUCAUCAGGGAGUCACCACAGGGAGUACCAGUGGACAAAGGAAUGAUUGUAGAAAGUACUAUGGUGCUAUUUUCUCUCCAAUUUCCUGGUCAAAGUCUAAAAUAAAAAUUGCAGAUUAGAAAAUCCUUUGAGAAUGGGGUUCAGCAAGUGAAACUGUUUGAAGCUGGUGUUGAUGACAGUUUUCCUGAUUUAGCAAAUAAUUUGCUUCUGCUAAUUGGUCUCUGGUCCAAGCCAUUUGGUUUUAACACUACAGUCAUCUCUUCAGGAUCAGGAAGUUGGAGGUAUGUUGCAGUUCAGGACUAGCUUAGCAUAAGUAAAGGAAAUUGUUUGACUAUAGUUCACUGUUAUAAAUAAAAUGUGUUAG
rnacentral:lncRNA from 1 species